CUCCAUCACACCCCAUCCUGCUAUCUUCAUCACCUUUGCACCAUCAUCAAUAUCUUCCAUUCAUUUCCUCCACCUCUACACACUCCGACAACCACGAGAAACCAACCAAAAUCGACAACACCAUAAUCACCACACUUGACCCUUGUAAUUAACCCCUUUCAUCUCUAAACAAACACAAUCUUAAACCAACUUCUUCAUCUAUCUUCAAACCUUCACUACCAUCAUAAAACUUCAUCAAAAUAUAGCUUCAUUAUCCACUCCACACAUAACCAUUCAUAAAGUCAAAACUCUGAACCAAAAAAACCGGCAAUGAACUCACUCUUCUCUUUCCCAACUCCAUCACCUCACCAUACCUUCACCGGCCAACCAACAUGCCAUUACACCUUCACUUUCAACAUCCCCCAAACACCAUUAAACAUAAGCAAAAUCUAAAAAUCCACAUAACACCACCAUCCCUUACUGAAAAAACAACAAUAGAGAAAACACAAAAAAAAAUCUAAGUAGCAAAAAAACUUGAAAAAGAAAAGAAGAAGAAAGUUCGAAGAAACACAAAGUCACCGACAACACCUCAACCUUCUCCGACGUCAUUCUAAAUAAACAACCAUAAUACACAAACAAACCUUCAUAAAUCAUUCAUCUUCACUCAUGUUUACAUUAUAAAAUUGCUUCAACAAACAACAAACAAAAGCGGAAAAAAAGAAACGACUGGAUCCUUCCACUUUCUUCCGCCAUCGUCUGCCACGAAUCACGACGUCAGCCACCACCACUGCUCUUCGUGCGACCACUUUGGUUGGAGCAUUUUAAAUUUUGAAAAUCAACUAUCUUGCCACGUGAAUGAUCCGCUCCUUAUUAAUAUUUUUUAUUUUUUUAUUCCUAUUUUUCUUUUGUUGUUUAAUUUUAUAUUUUAUUAAAUUAGGAAUAAUUUUGAUUAGUUGGAUUGGGCCCAAACAUGUUGAUUCUUUCACACUCAUAUCCAUCUUUAUACUCCUUUUGUGUUUUAUUUUUAUUUUUAUAGUUUUUU
rnacentral:lncRNA from 1 species